AUUGAACGCUGGCGGCAUGCCUAACACAUGCAAGUCGAGCGGAGCGGCGGACGGGUGAGUAAUGACUAGUAAUCUGCCUGGUAGCGAGUGAUAACGUACGACAACUGGCGAUAAUACCGCAUACUUUCAGUUGAGCCUAGGACGGAUUAGCUAGUUGGUGGGGUAAAGGCCUACCAAGGCGACGAUCCGUAACUGGUCUGAGAGGAUGAUCAGUCACACUGGAACUGAGACACGGCCCAGACUCCUACGGGAGGCAGCAGUGGGGAAUUUUGGACAAUGGGCGAAAGCCUGAUCCAGCCAUGCCGCGUGUGUGAAGAAGGCCUUCGGAUUGUAAAGCACUUUUAGUUGGGAGGCGGUACCUACAGAAUAAGCACCGGCUAACUCCGUGCCAGCAGCCGCGGUAAUAC
rnacentral:rRNA from 1 species